rnacentral:rRNA from 1 species
AUUGAACGCUGGCGGCAGGCUUAACACAUGCAAGUCGAACGAGCGGCGGACGGGUGAGUAAUGUCUGGGAAACUGCCUGAUGGAGGGGGAUAACUACUGGAAACGGUAGCUAAUACCGCAUACCAUCAGAUGUUCCCAGAUGGGAUUAGCUUGUUGGUGGGGUAACGGCUCACCAAGGCGACGAUCCCUAGCUGGUCUGAGAGGAUGACCAGCCAAACUGGAACUGAGACACGGUCCAGACGCGUACGGGAGGCAGGAGGGGGGAAUAGUGCACAAUGGGCGCAAGCCUGAUGCAGCCAUGCCGCGUGUAUGAAGAAGGCCUUCGGGUUGUAAAGUACUUUCAGCGUGGAGGCGUUACCCGCAGAAGAAGCACCGGCUAACUCCGUGCCAGCAGCCGCGGUAAUAC